rnacentral:lncRNA from 1 species
AUGCUGAAAACCAUUGAGUUUUACACUUUAAGUGGGAGAAGUAUACCGUAUGUGAAUUCUAUCACAACAGAGCUGUUGUUUCAAAACAACAACAACAACAACAACCGAUGCAAAGCUGUGCAAGGGACGUGGGAUCGGCUGUGGGAGGGAAGUCUGCUGACUAAUGGAAGGUGGGAGGGACCUCAAAAGUCCUGUUACUCACUGACCUUAUUUACCAGCGGAACGCUGGGCCCGUCUUGCCCACGGGACAGGGUGAGUCAGGGGCUUGAACCCAUGUCUCCAGACCCCCUGGCCCCGCGUUCCCCCCACCCCAUUACCUCCAUCCACCCUGCCCGCAGCUGCCCCUUCCCCCCCCCGGCCCCUCCAUCCGGCAACCUUGCCUCCCUUUUGACCGGCAGCCUGCUGAGAGGUCAGAUGACAAGAGCGACCCUCCCUUUCCCCGCGGAGAGCUCGACAGGGUGCACAGUAUGUGCACAGCCUCUGCUCCUUUAAGGCAGCGCGGCCCAGCGGGGCGCCCUGUCUGCUGUCCCGGGUGCAUUUCCGGCUCCCUCUCUCACCGGCUCUGAGCCCUUGGGGAAGCCACUCACUGCUUCUGCCAAACCUCCAUCGCCUCACCUAUGAACAGGGAAUAAGCGACAGACUCUACCUCCCAGGACCGCAAUGAGGAUUCACUGAGAACAUCCACGGACAGCACUUACUUCGAAUUCUUACCUGUGCACGAGGCACAGGGGGGCAGUGUCGCCCCCCCCCCGUUACAGAGGGGGACGCAGAGCUGGUGGGGGUAGAAUCAGCGGGGAGAACUGCUUGGGGUCACGUGCCCAGGCUGCGAGGGGUACAUGGGGACACCGAGGCCCACUUCCUGCCCUGAAGCGCAUGGCCUGAGCCAAAGAGGGGAGAAGAUUGGGCCCCUGGCCAUCAGGCUGGGCUGAGAGGGAAUGUACAGGCCCAAACCCGGCUGUGGGACUCAGUAAAAAGUACUUGGGCUGCUUUGGGGCAAGGAUCCCGGGACUGGGCGAGUGCUGGGGCCCCAGGAGGGCUCGGAACACCAGAGAAGAGGAAGAGGGCAUCCCAAUUAUGGGAAUCUGAGCAAGCAGUGUUGGAGACCGAAGGGGAGUGGCCUGUGUGGGGUCAAAGAAGCUGGAUGCCCGGCCACUGGGUACAAAGGACAACUAAAGCCAGAGAAAGGCCAGGUAAGGGUGGAACCACAGCCAGAACUGGGCUCCCCUCCCUCCUGCCACCUCGGGCUGGUGAUGUCUUUCUGACCCUCAGCAAAACCUUCUAAUGUCAUGAAGACUGGUGGUCAAGGGGUGGUCAAGGGGAGUCUGGACAUUCCCCCCCCCUUCCUGUGCUCUUUGUACUGGUCCCAGAGGCCCGGGACCCCUGUCCAGAGGAGGCCUCUAGGAGGCAAUAAUCAAGACAGUGACGACAACAUUAGGAUCUCUGGCAGGAGAUCUAGACCCUUCCUCCUGUGCCGCAGUCACGCUCAGGGGUC